rnacentral:rRNA from 1 species
UGCAUGGGCGAAAGCUGACGGAGCAUCUUCGCGUGAGGGAUGAAGGCUCUGGGCUGUAUACCUCUUUUAUCAAGGAAGAAGAUCUGACGGUACUUGAUGAAUAAGCCACGGCUAAUUCCGUGCCAGCAGCCGCGGUAAUACGGGAGUGGCAAGCGUUAUCCGGAAUUAUUGGGCGUAAAGCGUCCGCAGGCGGUCUUGUAAGUCUGUCGUUAAAGCGUGGAGCUUAACUCCAUUUGAGCGAUGGAAACUGCAAGACUAGAGUGUGGUAGGGGCAGAGGGAAUUCCCGGUGUAGCGGUGAAAUGCGUAGAUAUCGGGAAGAACACCAGUGGCGAAGGCGCUCUGCUGGGCCAUAACUGACGCUCAUGGACGAAAGCCAGGGGAGCGAAAGGGAUUAGAUACCCCUGUAGUCCUGGUCGUAAACGAUGAACACUAGGUGUCGGGGGAAUCGACCCCCUCGGUGUCGUAGCCAACGCGUUAAGUGUUCCGCCUGGGGAGUACGCACGCAAGUGUGAAACUCAAAGGAAUUGACGGGGGCCCGCACAAGCGGUGGAGUAUGUGGUUUAAUUCGAUGCAACGCGAAGAACCUUACCAGGGUUUGACAUCCUGCGAAUCCCUUGGAAACGAGGGAGUGCCUUCGGGAGCGCAGUGA